CUGCUAUCGAAGUGGACUAAGGCAUGCUAGUUGAACGUCUUUAACAUGUUAAAGGCGUAGCAUACAGCUCAGUAACAUGUUGUCAACCUACCCUGAGGACGAGAAUAACCCCGGGAAACUGGGAUUAAUACACGAUAGAUCAAGAUACCUGGAACGGAUUUUGAUCUAAAAAAGGGAUAAGCAUGUUUAUCAACUUGCCUCAGGAUGGGACUGCAUCCGAUCAGGUUGUUGGUGGAAUAAAAGCCCACCAAGCCUAUAACCGGUACGGGCUUUGAAAGAAGGAGCCCGGAGAUGGACACUGAGACAAGGUUCCAGGUCCUACGGGACGCAGCAGGCGCGAAACCUUCGCAAUGCACGAAAGUGCGACGAGGCUACUUCGAGUGCCAUCCGCUGAGGAUGGCUUUUGCCAAGUUUAAACCGCUUGGAGAAUAAGGGGAGGGCAAGUCUGGUGUCAGCCGCCGCGGUAAUACCAGCUCCUCGAGUGGUCGGGACGAUUAUUGGGCCUAAAGCAUCCGUAGCCUGUUCCGUAGGUCUUCUGUUAAAUUCAACGGCUUAACCGUUGAGCCGCAGGAGAUACCACGGGGCUAGGAGGCGGGAGAGGUAGACGGUACUCCAUGGGUAGGGGUAAAAUCCUCUGAUCCAUGGAAGACCACCAGUGGCGAAGGCGGUCUACCAGAACGCGCUCGACGGUGAGGGAUGAAAGCUGGGGGAGCGAACCGGAUUAGAUACCCGGGUAGUCCCAGCUGUAACCGAUGCGAGCUAGGUGAUGGAGUGGUUUCGAACCAUUCCAGUGCCGCAGGGAAGCCGUUAAGCUCGCCGCCUGGGGAGUACGGUCGCAAGACUGAAACUUAAAGGAAUUGGCGGGGGAGCACCACAAGGGGUGAAGCCUGCGGUUCAAUUGGAGUCAACGCCGGG
rnacentral:rRNA from 1 species